rnacentral:misc_RNA from 1 species
GAUGAAGAACGCAGCAAAAUGCGAUAAGUAAUGUGAAUUGCAGAAUUCAGUGAAUCAUCGAAUCUUUGAACGCAUAUUGCGCCCGCCAGUAUUCUGGCGGGCAUGCCUGUUCGAGCGUCAUUUCAACCCUCAAGCACAGCUUGGUGUUGGGACUCGCGUUAAUUCGCGUUCCUCAAAUUGAUUGGCGGUCACGUCGAGCUUCCAUAGCGUAGUAGUAAAACCCUCGUUACUGGUAAUCGUCGCGGCCACGCCGUUAAACCCCAACUUCUGAAUGUUGACCUCGGAUCAGGUAGGAAUACCCGCUGAACUUAAGCAUAUCAAUAAGCGGAGGA